rnacentral:rRNA from 1 species
UACAGAGGUGGCAAGCGUUGUUCGGAAUUACUGGGCGUAAAGGGCGCGUAGGCGGUUGGAUAAGUCUUGUGUGAAAUCUUCGGGCUCAACUCGAAGUCUGCACGAGAAACUAUCUGGCUUGAGUGUGGGAGAGGUGAGUGGAAUUCCUGGUGUAGCGGUGAAAUGCGUAGAUAUCAGGAGGAACACCUGUGGCGAAAGCGGCUCACUGGACCACAACUGACGCUGAGGCGCGAAAGCUAGGGGAGCAAACAGG